rnacentral:rRNA from 1 species
UACGGGAGGCAGCAGUGAGGAAUAUUGGUCAAUGGUCGAGAGACUGAACCAGCCAAGUAGCGUGCAGGAUGACGGCCCUAUGGGUUGUAAACUGCUUUUAUGCGGGGAUAAAGUGCGGCACGUGUGCCGUUUUNUAAAGGNCGCAUGAAUAAGGACCGGCUAAUUCCGUGCCAGCAGCCGCGGUAAU